rnacentral:sRNA from 1 species
UUUUAGCCCCGAUAGAAGUGGAAAUCCUUUUGCUUUUUUCUUUAAAAAGGAAAAGAUUGCAACGAAUAGCGGGAUCAGCU